UGGAUCAUGUUGUUAAUUCGAUGAUACGCGAAGAACCUUACCAGGUCUUGACAUCCCUUGCAAAGCUAUGGAGACAUAGUGGAGGUUAUCAAGGAGACAGGUGGUGCAUGGUUGUCGUCAGCUCGUGUCGUGAGAUGUUGGGUUAAGUCCCGCAACGAGCGCAACCCUUAUUGCUAGUUACCAUCAUUAAGUUGGGGACUCUAGCGAGACUGCCAGUGAUAAACUGGAGGAAGGUGGGAUGACGUCAAAUCAUCAUGCCCCUUAUGACCUGGGCUACAAACGUGAUACAAUGGCUGAAACAAAGGGCAGCGAAGCAGUGAUGUGGAGCGAAACCCAAAAAAGCAGUCUCAGUUCGGAUUGAAGUCUGCAACUCGACUUCAUGAAGUUGGAAUCGCUAGUAAUCGCGGAUCAGCACGCUGCGGUGAAUACGUUCCCGGGCCUU
rnacentral:rRNA from 1 species